CAUUUUUCUAAAAUAUUCUAAAUGACUUAAUAUAUUAUGAAAUUACUUUUAUUAUAAUUACUAUUACCAAAAUUAUUUAUAAAAAUAUAAACAAAGUAGUUGUUUAUUUCAUUUAUUAUUACUACAAAAUUAUCAUUGAAAAAAAGUUUGAACAUUAACUUUAAAAAAUAAUUAGAAUUAAAAUCUAAGAAUAUCUUGAUUAUUUGCUUAUUUUUAUUUUCGUGCUGCACUUGAAACUUGACAUCUUUUCUUUUGUACCGAGCUGUCUAUAUUUGCACAAGAAUUUCUUGUAACAGUCAAACUGUUACCCACUAUUACUGCACUUCCGAAGAAAUACAAAAAUGAUUUAUCUUUGUAGAUUAGAUUUACCGCAUUUCAAAUACUUUAUCAAGUAUAAUGGAAUUUAUGAACGAUUAAUGUAAAAAUAAAACAUUAUGGAUGUCAAAUAAUAUUCUAUGUAUUUAUGAUGCCUAAAAUAAAAUUAACGUUUUUCCAAUUUUUUCGUAUAUUUUUGUUCAAAAUGUAUUUUUAUUGCGGGCCACAUUGAAAGGCUACGCGGGCCGUAUGUUUGAGACCACUGAUCUAAAAUAUAUUGAUAUAAUGUAUUAUUUUUAAAAUUGGUUUGAACAUUAAAAAUAUAA